AAGGAAGGAAGGUUAGGUGCCAAGAGCGAGUGGCAAGAAACGCGGUCUGGGCACUGCUGCCAACCGCUCCGGUGACCCACACAGUGUUUGUGCCUCUCUGGGCAAGAGUGUCUUGUAAAACAGUGAGGAUGGUACCUGCCGGCCUCCCACUCGGGAUGGUGGAGAAUACGAAAUGAGGAAACCGAUUCUCCGAAAACCUGCUGGUUCCAGGGAAGUGGGAAGAGGCUGAAGGCACUGGAUCACGCGGAAUCACAUUGCUCAGAGCGCUCCACUGACUGUGACAUAAAGGAGACGCACGCUUGUGGGAAGAUUUUGACACAAAGGACCGCACUAGAAUCAUUCCAAUGCGGGAACCAAGAGGGGAGCCGUCCGUGCGUGCUGAGGCCGGUGACCGAGGCGUGGGAACAGAGAGCCCAGGAGACCCAACACGUGGAAACAGCCAGGUGUGGGGCGGGGUGGGUUCCGGCCGAAGUCACAGCGGGGCCGUGGAACAAGGUCAGGCCGGAAGGUGAGGUU